rnacentral:lncRNA from 1 species
GUGGCAUCAGUACCAAACAGGAGGUCAUUACAACAGUUCAAAUGAGAGGACGAGAAGGAGAGAUUGAACCAAGUGAGUAGCAAAAGAAUGGAAAGGAAAGUUUAGAUUAGAAAACAUAUCGAGAAAGAAUAAAAAAGGCGAUAAAAUGUAGUGGAUAGGAGAAGAGCUGGGGGUGAUGAGAUGAGGAUGACAUCAAGCUUUCCAGCUUGAGCCAAAGGUGGAUGCUGAAAUUGACAAAGUGAGAAGUUGAACAGGUUUGGGGAAAGCUGUGCGUGUGGGAGGAGGAUAAAAGGAGCUGUUUAGAAGAUGAGUAAAAGGAGACCAUGUUUCUUCAGAGAGGUUAAGAAGUUGAGUAUAAGGGCCUCCUGUGAGAGGAAACAGAAGAAGACAUGGUUUUCCAGAGAGCUGACCCGGUUCCGUCCUGACUGCUGCUUACUGUGAUAACCGCCCCCCCUAAGCCUUGUGCCUCAACUCUACGAUGAGCAUAAUACUACUACUUCAGAGGGGUGUUGUGAGAUUUAAAUAUGGUAAAAUCCGUAAACAGGUGGCAUAUGGGCAGUGUCAGUUGAUGUGAGCUGUCUUUUCUCCCCCACCUCUCCUGAAUUAGGAGGAAAAAGACAAUAUGCUACCAAUCAGGCACGGUGAGUGACUCCAUCUUCUUGCUCACCACCCCACACAACCCAUCACCCAAUCCUAUUGAUGUUUUUCUCCUAAACAUCUCAAAUCUCUACAAUAGAUUAGCUAUGAUGUCAGUUCCAGUUUCCAACAUUGUGAGACUGGCCAUGUCAGGCCUGCUCUAAGCCUAAUGUGAUGGUAGGAAGCGACCAGGAUUAUAAAGCCAAAGCAAAGGAAGAAUUUCCGCACCUGGCAGAGGUGGACCCUUGGAUGCUGAUGCAAGCCACGAGUCUGGGCUCCUCCUUCCCAAAGGCUCUCUCCCUUCACGUCCCCUGAACAUGGUGGAUGCUCCACUGAGGAAGUAGGGGGCCACCUCAGAGCUACUCCACCAAUUUGUAUCCUUAUACUGUCCCUCCUUGGCACUGUUUCUUUGCUAGUUCUUCUGCAAACCCAAGCAAAGGUCACUUAAGCUGAGUCUAGAUCUUCACUCUCUCUAGUUCUCUAACUCAGACCUGGACUUGGUGGCUUGGCCAAGGUCAAUCAUAUUUUUAUCUCACAUUAUUACAAAAGGGUUCUCAUUUGUCUCUUUGCCACCCAUCUUAUAUCAUUCUGACCUGUCUCACACUGAAGCCAGAGUGAAGUUUUUAAGACAAAGCUUUGAUUGUAUCACUCUUCUGCUUACAACUGCUCCGUGGCUCCCCAUUUCACCUGGAUGUGUCCCCAGCGCUCAGCGUCAUCUGAGUGCUUCAUGCCUCUCUCUAGGUUCAUUUUCAGCCACCACCGCCCCAUGCCUUCCACUCUCUACUCCAGCCACACUAACCAUCUGCACAGGGCUCUCUUUUGCUUCGGGGCAGUUGAACAUGCCGUUUCCUCUCGCUGGUCUCUCCUUGACUUUCCUCCUCAAAAGGAAGCUCAGAAUCUCUUGCCUGGGAAGUUUUCUCUGAUGCCACCAGGCUGCUUUUGGGGCCCCCUCCUCUCUGGUCUGCCCCUCUGUGCUCACCCACUGGCCCUUCUCAUAGCCUCACCUGCACUGAGUUAUUUGCUUUGUUCUGUGUUUUACACCUGUCUGGGAGCGUCCUGGGGAGCAGCGACCUUAGGGCUUACAACAUAGUUGGCACUUAAUGUUGUUGACUGCAUGAAUGAAGUGAAUGAAUGUGUUAAAUGAAUGAAGUGAGUGAUCGAACAAAAGAACUGGUUUAUUUUCUAUCUCAUGAACACUAUGGACCAUGUAAUAUAUUUUCUUUCCCACUUAACCUUGGCUAAUAGGUAAAGGACUAUCGAGAGUUUAUGGUAGGUAUUCAAAGUAUUAGGUCCACCCCUGGCUUUUCACAUCCUUUCUCUCUCCUACGCCACUCCCACUGCUGCUUCUUUUUCACUGAUACUAUUGUAUCAGUACAUUGAAAUAUUUAAAAAUUAAAUAAGUUUGUUUUAUUAUUGUGAAAAAGCCAAUUGAGCAUCUGCCAUCAAUUCCUUAUCUUGUCAAGUGCCUGAGGACCAAGUGCUUCCCCAACGGACGCUCUGUACACAUACUUUAUGAAUGAGAAAAUGCUAUGUAAAUAUUACUCAUGACUUUCCCCAACUGGCAAAAUCCUGCUGUUUAUGACACAGCUCAAAAGUCAACUUCUCUGUGAACCUUCUCUGACAUCCGGUUGCCAAACACCUUCUGCAGCCCACCCCACUGUUCUCACGGGGCUGUCCCAUGGUUAUUUGGUUUCCCAAGUAGAUUAAGUAACCAACUUAAUUACUUUAAUAUCUCCUGUGACUUAUCUUAGUUGUGAGCAGCUAGGAGAUUUUAAUAUAGGAUUUUUAAAUGAAUGAAAAAAAUUAAUAUAAAGAGAAAGGUGGAUGAUGACAGGGGAAAGGCUGAGUGGAUUUAAGGCAUGGGGCCUUACUGGGAUUGGAGCCUCUGAAAUGGGGACUUGGUUCAGACUUUGGUUGUAACUACACACUAAUAUGAUCUGCACAUUGUAAGAUGUUUCACGUGUGCUUGAAUUCUUCAGGCCUAACUUACAAUAACUACAUCUCAAUUCAUUAAUUUAUUUUGUUUCCUUCAAGCUAAUCAGUGGGAUACCAUUAUUUAAAGAAGGGGUCAUUUAACAAGUAGUUAUUGAUUCAAUAAAUACUUAUUGGUGGUCAUAUCCCUCAUAUUUAGCCCAGUGCUUGGCACAUAGUAGGUUCUCAGUAAAUAUUUAUGGAGUAAAUGAAUAAAAUCAAUUUAUUUAAAAUAGGGCCUGAUUUUCCACUUUGUAUAUCAAUCACUUGUAUAAAAGGUAAUGAAGUAUCAUCCCCCUCACUUGUUCCAGUUAAGAAAAUAAGCACAAAGAGGUGAAGCAAUUGGCCUGGGUCACUGGCACUAUGAUGGCAUUAUUAGGUCCUUUCAUCUUCCAUUUGCAUCUCCUUCUGCUCCUAGGCUAUUUGACCAUUUUUGUUAAUGUGACCUAUAAAAACAAAUAAUUUAAUUAAUAUUACAAACAUUUAUUGAACUACCACAUCCCAAGCACUAUGCCAGGUGCCAGAGACAUAAAAAGGAAUAAGACACAGUCCCUGUGUCCCUGUUCUUGAGGAGUUCACAGACUCCUGUUGUAAAUAAGUAAUUGCAAAGUAAUGGCC